GUACUUUGCACCUAGGCACAACAGGGUUUCUCCUUAACUACCUUUAAAAUUUACUUCAGCAUGACAAUACAUUGCAAAAACAUAUGGUAAGUGUCACCCUUAACUAAUUUUUUUUCACAUCUAUUGUUUUUUCACCACAACCUUAAUGUUCUUUUAAUGUCUAUUUUUUCUUGCGGAUGGCUAGUCUGAUUGUUUUAUUGACAGCUUCAUUAUGUUUAGAGCCUAUUGUUUACUUUUAUCCUCCCACUAAUUUAGGGCCUGACUCAAAUAACUUCAAAGAGAGCUGGAGUCUUUUAAGAAAAUUUUGAAGUUCAUUUGGCAGGGUAAACUCCUUGAGAAUAUUGGCAAACUCCCUAUUCAAACACAAGUUAGAUGACGAAGAGGGUUUACCUACUUCUUCCACUUGUAUUUUCAUGUAGUAUUAGGCAAUAAGGUUAUCAGCUAUAACAAAUUGGUUUACUUUAGAAAAGUAGGAAAGUUUUUUUCUGCUGAACAAGAGAAAUUUGCUCAUCCAUUAUUAAGCUUUCUGCGGUUUGACAAUAAGAGAAUAGAUAUUGAAAAUUGUAAUGUAUCCUCUGUUAUAAGUAUUUUAUUGGUGUAAUAUAAGUUUAAACACAAAUUGAGCCCUCGUUUUUGUCUUCUGUUAUAAGCAAAUCCCUCUCAGGAAUAUAUUGGCAAAUAUAGUAUAUGUGCAAUUUCUUAAAGCUUGGUCCCUUAAUAAUUGAUAAUCGAACAAUAUCACUUCGAGAAGUGGUGAAAAGCAGGGUGGAAAUUGACUUUCUCUGUUUCAAUAUUUUCUAACAUUGGAUACUUUGUGCACCCUCAAGAAAUAUUAAACAUAUCAUCAUAUUUGGGGAAGACAAAAUGCCAAAGUAUGCCUACCUCUGAUAAGAUGAAAAGUUUACUAGGCAAAAUAUAUUUAUAUUUUUAAAACUAAAUAAGGCAGAACCUAGGUAAAGGUAAAGGGACCCCUGACCAUUACGUCCAGUCGUGACCGACUCUGGGGUUGAGGCGCUCAUCUCGCUUUAUUGGCCGAGGGAGUCGGCGUACAGCUUCCGGGUCAUGUGGCCAGCAUGACUAAGCCGCUUCUGGCGAACCAGAGCAGUGCACGGAAACACCGUUUACCUUUCCGCCGGAGUGGUACCUAUUUAUCUACUUGCACUUUGAGGUGCUUUCAAACUGCUAGGUUGGCAGGAGCAGGGACCGAGCAAUGGGAGCUCACCCCAUCGCGGGGAUUCGAACUGCCGACCUCUGAUCAGCAAGUCCUAGGCUCUGUGGUUUAACCCACAGCGCCACACGCGUCCCUAGGCAGAACCUACCUAGAGGCAAAAAUGGAAAAGAGACAUUGGGACUAAUUUCUCCUUAUAAGACUGGUCUUGCAGUCUUAUAUAUAUACUAUAUGUCAAGCCAGACAGUUGCAGCUCGUCUGCUUACGAUUGCUGACAUCAUAUUUGACCCAAAUUCUCCAUUAGUUUUGUUCUUUUCAAUGAUAAAAGCUGGCUCUAUACAGAGAUUGCCCCUGUCAGUCUGUCAGAGGUGAGUUGUGGGCUGCUGUAGAAGCUGACCCAGGAGUCAUAAACCGGGAGCAAGAAGUUGAGGCAGGAAACUAAAGCUGAGGAACAAGCCAGGAAAUCAAAGCUGAGGAACCAGUUAGGAGACAGAGUUAAAGAACAAGCAGAAACCAGAACGAGCAGGCAAGCAAGAAGUAUGGAAGAUGACCAAAGGGCAGAGCUGAAGAUCACAUGAGAACAUACCAGGACCAGGCCAGUUACUCAAGAACAUCCCAGCACAAACAUGAAGGCUUUUAUAGCCCUUUUUCCCCAGAAGGCCAUUACUUCUUAUUCUUAUUUUUGUUGUUGUCGUCUCAGGAGCUCAAGGUGGCAUACAUGGUCCCCCCCCCACCUCCUCUCCAUUUUAGGUCACCUACUUAGUUUCAUGGUUGAGUGGGGAUUUGAGACAAACAAGUGAAGUCAAGGUCUAGUUGAACAUAAUAUGUUUCUUUAAGCUAUAUAUGCAAGAAUUUAAAACUAUACCAAAAUGCAAUCUAUGGCUGAUAGCCAAUAGCAUAUGCAAUAAUACAUGGGUAGGCAAACUAAGGCCUGGGGGCUGGAUCCGGCCCAAGCGCCUUCUAAAUCCGGCCCGCAGACGGUCCGGGAAUCAGCAUGUUUUUACGUGAGUAGAAUAUGUGCUUUUAUUUAAAAUGCAUCUCUGGGUUAUUUGUGGGGCAUAGGAAUUUUCACCCCCCCCCCCCAAAAAAAAUAGUCUGCCCCCCCCCAAGAUCUGAGGGACAGUGAACCGGCAUCCUGCUGAAAAAGUUGGAUGACCCCUGCAAUAAUAGCUGAAUAAUCUUGUGUGGCUUUCCAACAUUUACAUGCAACACAUGGUGUAUUAUCUCUCAUGAACAAAGUUGUUUGUGUCCAAAGUCUUGAAACACAUUGAUUACAAAAGCUGCAUUCCAAAUGGCUUGUCAAAUGUGUUUUGACUCCGUCUUCUUCAGUGGCAUCUAUUUGGAGAGCUCCUGCUUGUGUGUGAACUUAGAUCUUCUUAAAAAUACAAAAAAGAGGCUUUUAUUAAGCUAAAAACCUACAAUUCUGCACUUUUCCAUUUAAACCUCAAUACAAUUUUGGGCUUACCAAAUAGCGUAUAAUACUGCUGUAGGUUCAAUAUGGAAGACAUACUGUAUUUUUUGCUCUAUAAGAUGCACCAGACCACAAGAAGCACCUAGUUUUUGGAGGAGGAAAACAAGGGGGGGGAAAUAUUCUGAAUCUCAGAAGCCAGAACAGCAAGAAGGAUUGCUGCGCAGUGAAAGCAGCAAUCCCUCUUGCUGUUCUGGCUUCUGGGAUAGCUGCGCAGCCUGCAUUCGCUCCAUAAGACACACACACAUUUCCCCUUACUUAUUAGGAGGUAAAAAGUGAGUCUUAUAGAGCAAAAAAUACAAUAAGUUUAAAUUAUUCAUCACUGCAGCAAGCCCCUAUAAAAAUGUUCACUCUAAUUAUAAUGUAACAUAGAAUGUAACAAUCUAACCACCACACCACACUGGCUCUCAAUGGACAAUUGGGAUGGAUGGGGCCAGGCCAGAUCCUGGAAAUAUCAUAUUGCACAAGCAGAUGUUCCUGUGUACAGUUCUGCAGCUCAUCAUAUGGGACAUCCUUACACAGAUCCCAAGGUUGUCCAUUUUUGCCCAGGCAGCUCCUAAGAGACUAACUAAGUUAUGUUGUAUUUUUCAGUAAGCAGCCUACUUGAUCAGAUGUAUGCAGUGGACUGAGAAAGUGGUAAAUAUAUAUGUUGAAAGGAAUGUCACCCCCCCCCCGGGAAUGUUAACAUUCAGACAUGUGAAUGCAGACAAUCUCAGAAUAUUCUGGUUCCUGCACUGCAGAGUGGGAGAAAGGUACUCAGCUGAACCUCAUUUAAACUUCAGCAGAUUAUCAUUUUAAAAAAUAUUUCUAGACUACCAAUUGAAAGGAUCUGAAAAAUCCGAUUUUAAGCGAAGUUAAUAAUGUGAAUCCAACAGUCUUCUUUAAAGUUUAUAGUUCAGUAGGUUUCACUACUAGGAAGAUCUGCAAGGCAAUGGUCCAUAAUGAUCCUCACUUAGGAAAGUAUCAUCAUUUCUAUUUCUUCCUUUAUCUAGCACCUCAAGCAUAUUCCACAGAGGUUUUCUGUGCAGUGUCUGAAAUAUUCAUGAAAAUACCUCCAAGAUGUUUGGGAAACAAGGAGGAAAAUACAUUAACCUUCAAAGUAAUUUAUGUGCUUUUCAGGUUACUGAUUUAUUAAGACACUUUGUGCACCUGUUCCAGUCAUUAGUGAUAGAUUGUUCCGUAGUAAGCCCUCACUCCAUCUUAGUUAAAUUACUUUUGCUGGUUGGAUGGAUUAUUGGGUUACUUCACAACAGCCUUCUAAUUUGCUGACUGCUAUUUAGAAACACGUGACAUAUAUCAGACUUCACAAGCCAGAGUUAAACUAAUAAACUGUCCUGGUGACAAUUCUGCAAUUUGUGUGUCUUACCUGGGAAUUCCCAAAGGGGGAGCCAUUCUAGUCUGUUACGUUUGAACUACAUAAACCUCUGUGGACUAGAAUCCACUUCAUCAGGUACAUCAGAGUACCCUACCGUCCGCUUCAUCCUGCAACUGAUGAAGGGGACUAUUGAUCACCAAAGCUGAUCAUGCAAGUAUACUGUCCAGAUCAAGGGAAGUAAUGUUGUUGUUGUUUAGUCGUUUAGUCGUGUCCGACUCUUCAUGACCCCAUGGACCAGAGCACACCAGGCACUUCUGUCUUCCACUGCCUCCUGCAGUUGGGUCAAACUCAUGCUGGUAGCUUCGAGAACACUGCCCAACCAUCUUGUCCUCUGUCGUCCCCUUCUCCUUGUGCCCUCCAUCUUUCCCAACAUCAGGGUCUUUUCCAGGGAGUCUUCUCUUCUCAUGAGGUGGCCAAAGUAUUGGCGUCUCAGCUUCAGGAUCUGUCCUUCCAGUGAGCACUCAGGGCUGAUUUCCUUCAGAAUGGAUCGGUUUGAUCUUCUUGCAGUCCACGGGACUCUCAAGAGUCUCCUCCAGCACCAUAAUUCAAAAGCAUCAAUUCUUUGGCGAUCAGCCUUCUUUAUGGUCCAGCUCUCACUUCCAUACAUCACUAUUGGGAAAACCAUAGCUUUAACUAUAUGGACCUUUGUUGGCAAAGUGAUGUCUCUGCUUUUUAAGAUGCUGUCUAGGGAAGUAAUAGUACCACUCUAUUCUGCCUUAGUCUGACCACACUUGGAAUACUGUGUCCAGUUCUGGGCAUCACAAUUUAAGAAGGAUCUUGACAAGCUGGAACAUAUGCAGAGGAGGGCAACCAAGAUGAUGAAUAGUCUGGAAACAGUCUUAUGAAGAGCGCUUGAAGGAGCUGAGUUUGUUUAGCCAGAAAACAUGGAGUGUGAGAGGGAGAUAGGAUAGCCAUCUUCAAAUAUCUCAAGGGUUGUCACAUAGAGAAGGGAGCGUGCUUGUUUUCUCCUGCUCUGGAGGAAGGUAGGACUCGAACCAAUGGCUUCAAGUUGCAAGAAAAGAGAUUACGACUAAACAUUUGGAAAAACUUUCUGACAUCAAGUGAUGUUCAGCAGUGGAACAGACUCCCAUGAGAGGUGGUGGACUCUCCUUCCUUGGAGGUUUUUAAGCAGAGGUUGGAUGGCCAUUUGUCAUGGGUGCUUUAGCUGAGAUUCCUGCACUGCAGGGGGUGGACUAGAUGACCCUUGGAGCCUGUCCAACUCUAAGAUUCUAUUAUUCUAUGUUACAAAUGCUUUGUUGUUCAUAAGUUUAAGUAAUCUUUGACUUCUAGUCACCAGUGAAGACAACCGUUCAUAACCAAUGUAGGAAGCCAGUGGCAGGACCAUAGUUCAGUGCGAAGCAAAUUGCUUUGGAUGUAUAAAGACCUUCAGCAAAAAAAUAUUUUAGAUAGGGCUGAAAAUAUGCUGCCUUGAGACCCUGGAUCAUCAUGGACAGUCAGACCAUGAAAAUAUUAUCUAGAUGUACCUCUGUGUCAGUAGAAGGCAACUUCAUGCACCCAUGUUCCUCAUACAGGCCAGGAACAUUCAGACAACUGUAAUGUUCAGGUAAUGAUUCCAAAUUCUACUGAUAACCCAGCUACCUGAAACUUUCAUCACAUGGUGAUUUACUGAUAGAUUUAAACCUAAAAUAAAAAGUGUUAACUAUUAGUAGGAAGAACAUUUCCGCAUAAUAGCAUAAUCAUAUUAUGAAUGGGUUAUUAACAGAAAUAAUAAUAAUAAUAAUAAUAAUAAUAAUAAUAAUAAUAAUAUCACCUGAAAAUCCUCAUGGAAUCAUAGCAUCAUAGGCUUUAGUCGUAACUCCACUUUUGUAGGAAAAAGCACUUCUGAGUCGACAUGGUUUGGGCUGCAGAUGUGGUCUCUUUGCUUCAAGUAGUUCUCACACACAUUAUAAGGACUAAGGGCACUGUUUCCCCAUGACGUUAGCUUUGACAAAUCAGUGAAUAUAGCAUCAGCAUAAGCAGAGUCCAGUCACAGAGGUCCAGGGCCUUUUUUUCAGCCGGAACUCGCUGGAACUCAGUUCCGGCACCUCUCAGGUGGGCUCUGAGGGAACGAGGGAGGUGUUCUGGCACCUCUUUUUCUGGAAAAAUAUCACUGCAUAGGUCUUUCCCAAAUUACUGGUGUUGCACCAGAUGGGAAGGUACUAACCAAACAAUAAACAUCCAGUGAUGCAGUCAUGAUAUGAAAACACACACCACACACACAAAAAACUUCUUCAAAUCUAUUUCCCAUGCACUAACCUGCUAAAUCUCACAUUAAAAAAUAAAUAAACAAACAACACGCUAUUAAUUCCAUUGACAUUUGCUGGAGAUAAGGAAUAUGGUCUUCAGCACGCAGAUCUACUAUUUUAAAUGUAUGCACACACUCACCCAAAUGUCAGCUGUUUUAGUUGCAGCAUCCCAGGAAAGGUAUCAUGGGUUGCACAGAAUAAGUAAAGGGAUUCUUUGACUUGUGUCAGGGAAGGAGGAGAGGGAGACGGGUGUGCUGUGCUUCUGUUUGUAUCAGCCACAUUAACUCUUCAUAUCAUUAUCUUCCCAUUCCUAUGAUGAAAAGAGAAAGAAUAUAACUUUAUUUUCAGUGUGGUUUUCUAUCUCUUGCUCUUUGCAAAUGGUGCAGGAAAUAUCAACGUGCAAUUGGUGGUUUGCUGAGUUCUGUUUGCUGCAGCAACAAACAACCAGCCAAAGGUUAUUAUGUGAAUGCACACGCCUUUUUCAAUUUCACUGUCCCUCUCUCUCUCUCCCCACCCCCGGCAAUUCUAUUCUAUUCUUAAAGCUACUCUUCUGGCAAAAGAAAGGAAAAAAAAGAAAAAGAAACGAAGGGAGAAAUAUGCUUCCCAUGUCUAUAGAUAAACUCUUUAAUCUGUCAUGCCUGAAGGUAAAAAAAAAAGGAGAAAAAAAAUAAACUCAGACUGAACAGCUUACUCUAGAGUUAGUUUUGCUGAUGCAGCUUUUCUGGUUGUCCAUACUGAGCAGAAACUCGGGGAAAUAGCAACACAACUUGUUUAAUGUAGCAUCGACAAUCAUCAUUCUUACCGUCAGGUAAAACAAGUGCUUACUGCUAAUCCUUGGCUCUUUUGGUUUAUACUGCAUCUAAAGUUAAGAGGUUCUUGUUGUUCUGCUUCCUACCUCUAUUCAGGGAUGUGGGUGGCACUGUGGGUUAAACCACAGAGCCUAGGACUUGCCGAUCAGAAGGUUGGCAGUUCGAAUCCCCGCGAUGGGGUGAGCUCCCAUUGCUCGGUCCCUGCUCCUGCCAACCUAGCAGUUCAAAAGCACGUCAAAGUGCAAGUAGAUAAAUAGCUACCACUCUGGCGGGAAGGUAAACGGCGUUUCCGUGCACUGGUCUGGUUCGCCAGAAGUGGCUUAGUCAUGCUGGCCACAUGACCCGGAAGCUGUACGCCGGCUCCCUCGGCCAAUAAAGCGAGAUGAGCGCCGCAACCCCAGAGUCGGCCACGAUUGGACCUAAUGGUCAGGGGUCCCUUUACCCUUUACUUUACCUCUAUUCAGUGGAGAUGAUGCCCCAUGCAACCCAGAAAUCUAACCAUCUAACAUUACAAGUCAAGAGCCUUGUUUAAAAGGCAUGCAAAAACAAAAUCAUGACAAGAGGUGAACACAAACUGAUCACUUGGUAAUGACUAGCCACAGUUCCUGUGAUGUAGGUGGUAAACUGUAGCAUUUUCCCAAAUGGCAAGUGUGUUUUUUUUGUUUGGUUUUUUAUUAAACAGUCCCCUGGUUCCUUGGAUUUCUGGUUUUGUGUAAAUGUUGGGUCAAAAUGCACUCCUGAUGAGAUGACCAGAUGAGAUGCUAAAGAGACAGACAACCAUUUCUUCAUGUAGCAGCAUGCCCACUAAAGGAAGCUACCAGUUGGCAAACAAAUUAUUAUCAGCCUGUUCACUGCUUUCAAAGUAAGUCGUUUCUUAUCCUUCCACCCCUAAUUUGGAAUGGGCUAUCCUCAGACUUGUCUCUCCUACCCUGUCAACUUUCAAAUCAGUCCAUUGAAUCAUUUUCCUUUAUUCAUAAGCCACAGAAUCCACUUUCUCCCCCCUGCCUCCUGCCCUCCCUGCUGAUUUUCCAUUAUAAUGGCAGACUCACCCACAGGUGUGGCCUUAUAAGAAGAGCCCUGCUGGUUUAGACCAAAGGCACCCCACUACUUUUUCCACAAUCUACUGGGGAAGAACUUCCUUGGAUGGAAGGGAGGGGAUUGGGGUGACUAUGGUUUUGGGCUUGGACAGCAAGACCACCUGAAUAUUGUAGACACCUGUGGAAAAAAAGGAGGGGCAUUGGGAAGUCAUACUUAAUGGCUGAAAAGCCAAUAAACUACACCAUUAUUAAGAGAACCAAUGCUUUGUUGAUCACAAUUGCAAAAGUAACUGUGACGUAUUCUGUCUUGUGACAUAUUCUCUAGACUACCAGAGGCCAUUCAUGUGAGCAGACUGAGACAAAAGAGGGGGAGCAAAUUAGAAAGCAAGCCAGUAAGCAUGAGAGCAAGCAUGUUUUAAAGACUUCGAGUCUUAGAAAGUUGGAGUUAGAGCGGCGAGGAGAGAGUUACACAUAUCGCAAUCGUAACUUCCACCCACCACCAGCAGGGAUUUGCAGAGGAGAAGGGAAACCACCACAUCUGCAACUUAUGCCAGCCCCAGUGAAAGGAGGAGGGCAGGGUGACCAGGCUCAGAUCAGGCCUGAUGCUGUUGCACUAUGGCAGUGAGAUGAGCUUGAGAUCCAAUGGAUCCUGGAUCAGCUCAAUCUGGAAUUAGAGAGAAAUGGAAAGUGAAUUGUUGUAGCUUUAAGGAUGUGGGUGUUAGGAUUCGUUCCCCGUGUUGCGGUCAUGGGAUUGUUUUUAUCACAUGACGGUGUAUGUUUUCAUUCUGCAUUGUAGGAAGUGAUGGAGACAGGAUGUUUUUAUUACUCUGUUUCCAUGAUAUAGGACAUUUGUCCUUUUGUUCUUUCUCUCUUUGCUGUCUGAUGCUGAAGAGGAAGGAGCUGAGUUACGAUGCUCCACGUGUGUAUAUGUAAAUAAACGUAGUUUAGCCAAAAAGCUGCACUACUGAGACUGUACGCUGACUGCCUAUACUCUGCUGAUUCUGAAGUGUGCUGAUGCCUCUUGGUAUCAGUCACUGUGAUGUUCGGGCUGGAGAAAGCUUUUGAAUCUCCCGACCAACCAGGAGGGAGAGAAUAUGCCAGUCGGGCAUGUGUCUCUGCCAGAUCCCUACUCGUAUGUAGGACCUCCUGGCAGUGGGUAGCGUUUCUCACUGAUUUCUGUAUCCUCAUGCUAUCCCUAUCCAUGAUAGUUCAGAAUGGGGGGUCCCCUCUCCAGCUAUGUUCAUUUCCCACCCCCCAUCCAAAGAAAGAUUAGACCAACACCAGGUUUUGGGAGGUCUUUGUCAGUGGCUCUAUCAUCUCCCUGCUGCUUCCACCACUGCUCAAUAGCCUUUCUUCUCCCUCUGGGCCCAGUGAGACUCACUGUCCAGGGAGAGAGAUGAGCAGAAGUAGCAACAGCUCUGCCUUUUUCUUUCUCUUGCACUUUCUCAUUCACUUAGGAGGGCAGGCAAAGAAGCAGCAAUAAGAAGGAAAAUGAACAUCAGGCCUGCAGGGUUCAGGGAUUGCCAAUGGACACACACACACACACACACACACACACGUAGAGGAAUGGGUCUUGGAUGCCGACCAAUAAUGCCAACCCUUGACUCAGCCCCUGGCCCUGCUUCAGAAGUCCAGCUGGUGAUGCAGAGUUGCAAGUGGAAAUUUUGCAGGGCAUUAACUAGGCACUUGGUAUUUUCAAAUAUGUAUUCAUUUUUGCACUGCUUUUAAUAAGAAAUUAUGAGCAGAAGCCCAUGACAAAAUGGAAUAUGUCAAUGUGCCAAAAUAGAAAACAAAAUGCUAGAAGAACAGGAUGGAAAACGUGCCCGGCAUUUACAGCUGGGUAGGGAAAGGUCUAAAGUUUGAGUAUGCGACUGUAAAAUAGGCUUGCCAUUUCUUCUAGGGAGCCUUGGGUAUGAGAACUUUUAUCUGAGGAGGUAUUCUGGCACAUCAAUAGAAAAUGGCCAUCGAAGUAAAUGUUGCAAAACUGUCUGCAAGAUGCUCAUAAUGGAAAAUUCAUGUCAGCCCUGGAGGUCUGAGGUAGCCCAACCUCUGAGACGGCAUAGAGAGGACGAAAACACUGCAAACUCCAUUUCUCACCUUCUCCCAAAUAUAUUCUGGGCUGGAAAAGUUUUGAGAUACUGCCGAGUUCAGGAAGCAGACCAAACUGGGAGAAAUGGUUUAUGCACUCUUGGAUUAUGUCCAGAGCUUCUUGCACAAAUGCUUUCCACACACUUCCAUUACUCCAGUGUGCCCGUGGGGUCUCCAGAAUGACCAUUUCUGAGUUCAUGAUUACUUGUAGUCCAGACUCUUUUUAAACCACAGUAGGUCUGAAAGUAGGGACACGGAUGGCGCUGUGGGUUAAACCACAGAGCCUAGGACUUGCCGAUCAGAAGGUCGGUGGUCACCCGUGAUGGGGUGAGCUCCCGUUGCUCAGUCCCUGCUCCUGCCAACCUAACAAUUCGAAAGCGUGUCAAAGUGCAAGUAGACAAAUAGGUACCGCUCUGGUGGGAAGGUAAACAGCAUUUCCAUGUGCUGCUCUGGUUCGCCAGAAGCGGCUUAGUCAUGCUGGCCACAUGACCCAGAAGCUGUACGCCGGCUCCCUCGGCCAAUAAAGCGAGAUGAGCGCCGCAACCCCAGAGUCGGCCACGACUGGACCUAAUGGUCAGGGGUCCCUUUACCUUUACCUAGGCCUGAAAUAGGGCAGCAUGAAGGUCCUGCUCUUGUACCAUCUCUGCAAGCUGCACUGCUGGCAAAAGAUCAAGUGCAACAUGGCACUCCAAAACUCCCAUUUUCAAAACUUCAAUUGACAGGGGCAGUAGUGGUGGCUUUGUGGUUUUGCUCUUCUCUUUAAUUAAGUCCCACUUUGCACAGAUUGUAGUCCUUUCUUUCUGCUUGGGGAAAUGGACAGAAGUUGAAUAUUACUCCAACAUUGUAGAACCUGAUUCAAAAGGAAAAUUCAGAUCAGCCAGGUGGCUGUCUUUCUUUCUGUUGGGCAUUUUUGGAGCCUCCGAGACAUAUUGCCCUGAAACAACAAGUAUGGAUUGUAUCAAAAUGCAGAAAUGAAAUAAAAUGCCUCUUGAUAUCCUAACGUUAUAAAACAAACAUUCUUCUAGCUAGAUUCCAAAACUGAGUUUUGUGCAUUUUUGUUGUUGGGUAGGGGGGAGGCAUUGUACCAUUUGGUAGGAAGAAAGGCAUAUUGCACACUUAUUCCAUUUCUCUCAGUCGAAGCACCAUAACAACAAGGAGUUCACUCAGAGAAUGUGCUCUGUGUCACUCUGAAAUGUUUACCUCGUCAAUUUAAUUGAAGAUGCGUGAUUUUCAUAACCUCUGAGAAUUAGAAAUUCUUGAUGAGAUCAGUUGGAACAUACAGAUGCUAGCAGUUCCUGAAAAUUGACUCGUUUGUAUCCAAGUUCUUCGGGGAGGGGAGAGGUUUUCUAGCAGUCCUAUAUGGAAUGUUGAUGUUUCAAUUUAGGACUUGGCUCAGUAGUGGAUCAUAGAAUAUGUGGAAUUGUUCAGAAAAGAAAAGGUCCUAAUUUGUACAUCCUUAUUCUUGUACCUUGGACUGGGGGAAAAUUAAAAGUCAGUGUUGAGAACAGUCACAGUUACAGGAAUAGGGUGAGACCUCAAAAACACACAUUCUGGUGUCAAAGACCAUGGAGGACAAGGGAAACCAGAAAGGGGGUGCUGGGGAUGCAAUAUCACAAUCUUUUCUCAGUAGGACAGAAAAGAACCCUCAUUUAUUUCAAGGGCAUUACUUCCAAGUAAAACAUACAAAUAACAGCCAAUUGUGUUUUAUUCUGUAAAGGCAUCACACUUGGGAAUGACAUAAUCUGGACGUGGAGAAAGGGCAUUUGGGCUAUGUCUGUGUUUUGUGCUCUUCCUUCAAAAAUGUCUGAAUUACUCUUAGUGAAACUAAGAGAGUGUGCCCCCUGCUAGCCUUAGGUAAAGGUGAAGAACCCCUGACAGUUAAGUCCAGUCACGAACGACUCUGGGGUUGCGGCACUCAUCUCGCUGUACUGGCCAAGGGAGCUGGCAUUUGUCCGCAGACAGUUUUUCCGGGUCAUGUGGCCACCAUGACUAAGCCGCUUCUGCCAAAACCAGAGCAGCACACGGAAAUGCCAUUUACCUUCCUGCUGGAGCAGUACCUAUUUAUCUACUUGCACUUUGACAUGCUUUCGAACUGCUAGGCUGGGAGCUGGGACCGAACAAUGGUAGCUCACCCUGUCAUGGGGAUUCGAACUGCAGACCUUCUGAUCGGCAAGCCCCAGGCCCUGUGGUUUUAGACAGCUGCUAGCCUUAGACCUCCUCUAAACCCUACCCCUUCUGCCCAUCUGAUGGCAGCCCUGUGCACAUGGAUAGGCUUAUGCCUGUUGAAUGUGUUUUGUGCUAGCAGAGUGUAUUUUAGCCAUCACGGGCUUCAAGGUGCAGAGGCAGGCGCAUCAUAACCUAUGACCAAUAGCACAGUAGAUCCAGGAUUUGGCUUGCACAGUAAAUGGAGAACUAAAUAUGACCACAUAGGUGGUUGGAUUUGCCAACAUCUCUGUAACUUCAAGCAGGGCCGUCUUACCCAUAGGUGCUAGGGGUGUGAGGCACCCGGGUGCCGGGCUCUCAGGAGUGCCAGGCUGAGAGUCCGGGGCCCGAGAUUUGAAUCUGAGGAAGAGCCUGCCCAUUGGUCAGAGCGCCACGGUGGGCUCUUCUGCUGCGGGCAGCUCUGCGCCAUGAGUUUGGGGGCAACCGAGCCAGCAAGAAUCUAGGCCAGCUGGCCAGCUCCACCCUCCUGCGUACCCAGGACUGGGCAACCUGGGAGGGGGGUGCCAGGCGGAUCUUUGCACCCCGGCACUGCAUAUGCUUAAGACAGCCCUGACUUCAAGACUUGAUUUAGAGCUACUUUUUCCUGAGCUUAUGAAUAAACUUCGUCCCACUUUGUAUUUUCAGAAAGAACUAGUGUCAUUGAUCUUCCUGGCAAAAAACAAAAGUAUUUCUUUUAAGCUUAGAUCUUAGUAAGCAAACAGUGAGAAAGGUCUACGUGAAGCUGCCUUGACACUAGACAAACUUCCAUGCACACAGGAAAAUAUAUACCAAAACUUAUGGGCUAAAGUGCCAUGGUGAAAUUUCUUCUUCCAAGAAGGUCUCUCUAUGAAAAUGCAGGGUGUGAAAACACAGUUGUUUGGGUUUUGACUCAGUAACUCCAACUUAGUAUUCAUGAUGGUUUCUCUGACAAAUGGGGUUAUUAUCAGCAGAUGCUGUAAACAUAAAUCAGAUGGAUAUCAAUAAAAUUGCAUUUUAUUUUAUUUUUUUGUUCUGGCCUUGUUUAUGGAUUCUCUCUCUCUUUCUAAGUAACCCAUAAAUACUUGGAAUGCAUUGAGGAAGCAUGCCACUCAGGUUAUUUGCUUUCUCUGGUAAAAGAGAACUAGCACCGAUCAUUUUUUCACAAUGGUUGUCAGCAACAAAAGUGUCCUAUUGAUUAGGCCUUUGCUGCUUUACAUCCCUGAAUGCCUUGCAUCACUUUGCCUCCAGAAAAAAAAACAUAACUCUGAAAGCACUUUAUUCAAUAAGUUGAUGCAUGUAGCUGGUAAAGUCAGUGGCAUCUUGAAAAGUGAUUUGUUGGAAUUAAAGAGACUUACGUUUUGAAAGUAUACCUGAAGGAGCAUCUCCACCCCUAUCAUUCAGCCUGGACACUGAGGUCCAGCUCUGAGGGCCUUCUGGUGGUUCCUUCACUGCAAGAAGUGAGGCUACAGGGAACCAGGCAGAGGGCCUUCUCGGUAGUGGUACCUGCCCUGGGGAACGCCCUCCCAUCAGAUGUCAAGGAAAUAAACAACUAUCUGACUUUUAGAAGACAUCUGAAGGCAGCCCUGUUUAGGGAAUUUUUUAAUGUUUGGUGUCUUAUUGUGUUUUUAAUAUUCUGUUGGGAGCCACCCAGAGUGGCUGGCGAGGCCUGGCCAGAUGGGCAGGGUAUAAGUAAUAAAUAAUAAUAAUAAUUUCAUUGUUGAGUGAUGAUCAAGGAGUGGGUGGAGAAGGAGGGUACCACCACCCUUAUCAGAGGGCAUUGCAAUGUGGUAGUUGAAACACAGAGGCUGCCAAAUCACCAACAUGUCAGCCCCAGCGUAUUAUCUGAAGGCACUCAAGGCCUGCUGAAGCUAAGCAGUGGUAGUCAAAUCCAAAGGUGAGCAGAAAAAUGAAUUUUGUAUUCAUUUCUACAUACCAUAUGGGCCAGUGUUUCCCAAACUUGGGUCUCUUCUUGUUUUGGACUAUAAUGCCCAUCAUCCCUAGCUAGCAAGAUAGGUAUUAUGGGAACUGCAGUUCAAAACAGCUGCAGACCAAAGUUUGGGGCAAAAACUGGCCUAGAUGGUGUGUAGAAUAUAGCCUACUGUACAAAUAUAAAAUUCGGGUUUUUGCCCACCUUAGGAUUUGGAUUUGGCUACCACUGGCAUAUGGGACACGGGUGGCGCUGUGGUCUAAACCACAGAGCCUAGGGCUUGCCAAUCAGAAGGUUGGCGGUUCGAAUCCCUGCGACAGGGUGAGCUCCCACUGCUCGGUCCCAGCUCCAGCCCACCUACCAGUUCAAAAACACGUCAAGUGCAAGUAAAUAAAUAGGUCAUUUCCUUGCGCUGCUCUGGUUCACUAGAAGUGGCUUAGUCAUGCUGGCCACAUGAUUCGGAAGCUGUCUGCUGACAAACACCAGCUCCCUCGACCUAUAGAGAGAGAUGAGCGCCGCAACCCCAGAGUCGUCCGUGACUGGAACUAAUGGUCAGGGGUACCUUUACCUUUACCACUGGCAUAUGCCCCUCGGAAAGUUGCCAGGAGGCAAUGUGAUCACCAUUGGGCUAAAAAGGAUUCUCCCCCACCUCUGAGCUAUGCAGUAGGGCAGGCUUUCUCAACCUCGGCCCUCCAGAUGUUUUGAGACUACAAUUCCCAGCAUCCCUGGCCACUGGUCCUGCUAGCUAGGGGUCAUGGGAGUUGUAGGCCAAAAACAUCCGGAGGGCCGAGGGUGAGGAAGCCUGUAGUAGGGGACAUGGAUGGAUUCACUACUGAAUUUUGUCUUUCAAAGAAAACAAUUUGCAGGAAGAAUUUAGAGGCUCCUACUUGGGGGAAAUGGCUAAAGAUGGUUUAAGGAAGCAGAAGUCAUUUUGCUAAGAUGAGCAAGUUUUAUUGGGUGGGGGGGAGUAGGGAAUACACACAUCCUGACAGUAACUGUUGAAAUGAUUCUGUUUGCCAGAGCUCUGCAGUCCCCGUGAGCUGCCGUGCGGCUGAAGAAAUAUGGGGCAGCCGAAAUGCGAAACAAAAUAUGAACCCAUUAAACAUGCCGCUCAAGCUAAAAUUUUCUUAAAGAGGACACCAAAUAAAUCAAUAGCUUGUAGGUUCUUGUACCAUGUAAGAAUAAAUGACAUUUCAGCAAAAAUUGCAGCCUUGCAACCAAGUCAUUUCAUGCUUCAGAACUUUUUGCUGUCUCAGAGACCAGAAAGGUCUGGACCUGAGCACUUGAAUUUGAAAUGUUUAGAAAUACAAGUAAAUGAGUAAGUGUAGAUCGCAGCCUAGCUCAGCACUCCAUUUCGCAAAACUGUUAAUAGAGUGUUUUGCUCGUAUGUCUGAGGCAGCAUUAUGUUAUGAAGCUUGAAACGUACUGAAGCAUGUUUCAGAUGGGACUUGCGCUUGCGACGCGAAAUCGGCUUGCUUUUCCUCUUAGCUUCUCUCUGAAAAACAGCAGUUAACUUAUGGGUUGUUGUGUGGCUUGGGGAAAUAACUACUAGGCUAAAGCACAGGAGUUUUUUUAUUUUAGGAAUGGUGCAGUAUGGGAGACUCUGGUUUAGUAUUCCAGCCAGCCAACCAACCAACCAACCAACCACACUCUUUUUCAGAAUAUCCCAUUCUAUUGUCCCUCCAACAUAUGUUUUCAGAUUGUAAUUAAUGAACAUACUGCCCACUUCAGGAGAGGGUGUUUUUGUUUUUGUUUUAUUUUGCUGUCCCCUUAGGAUUUUUUUCCCUUUAAUAUUUUUUGUUACCCCUGCAAACUUUGGAAACCUUCUCCUCCUGCAGCUAUGCUGACCCCUCACUCUUAUUUCUCAGCGGCCUUGUUUUGACUACAUGCCUGUUGGCGCUUGCAGUCUGAGUUAGCUGUUGGAAGGAAAGAAGAACUAUCAGUAAAGGCAUGCAGAAAAGGGAAGGGAUGUGUUAUUUGCAACAUUCUCAGGAUUAAAAAGCUGUGUUCCUACAGACACAACAGGAAAUAAGUCCCACUGAACUCAGCGGGAUUCAUCUUUGAGUAGGCAUGCAUAGGACUGUGCAGAAUUUGAGUCUUUAAAAAAAUCAUAUUCUUCCUGGCUGUUGUUGCUAUUUCUCUUUGGUGUACCCUGCAUAUCCCUUUACAAUACCGUUAAUUUUGCUAUUUUGUAAUGACUUAGCAACCCGCAAAAGCACAAAGGCCUUAAGAAAUUCAGAUACAAGUUGAAAACUGUAACAGGUGCCCAGAAAGUUUUGGAAAGAAUGUUGUAUAGGAUUGUUGACUGAGAUAGGAAAUGACAUUAAAGUUUUUGCUAUGUGAGGUGUUAGUUGUAUACAGGUUUAAAAUAUGGGGACCCAUUAUAUUUUACCUUCUUCCUUUUUGUACAUUGGGCAAUACGGGCCUGAAACCCACUAGGAUUGUGAUAAUUUACAGUCCUUUGAGCUCAUAAAUUCUCUGCACACAUAUUACAGCCUUCCUUUUCGCAUCAAAGUAGCUGAUGUAUGUUGGUCACCUUGGGCUGAAAGAAAUGGGGAACAUUCAGUUUUCUUUUGCGCUACGUAAGGGGCAGUUUAAUAGCAUGGCAGGCAUUACAGCUUUAAAGUCUGCUUCUGGAUUGGAUGAUGCUACUUAAUACUAUGCUACAUGAGUCUGACCAAACUGCGAGAGGCAGUGGAAGACAGGAGUGCCUGGCGUGCUGUGGUCCAUGGGGUCACGAAGAGUCGGACACGACUAAACGACUAAACAACAACAACUUAAUACUAAAUUUUUUGUUUGUUUGUUUGUUUGUUUGUUUUAAAACAAAUAAAGGAGGAAAGACUCGCAGCAUUAGAAAUCCCAUACAGUUUACUCAGAGGUAUGCCUUCAUGCAUGUUAGAGUUAAAAAUGCAUGCACCUACACUAGAACAAAAGUGGAAAACCUAUGUGAGGAGAUUUCACCCCUCCCAUAUCCAAGAAUCUGCUGAUGUUCUCUGCUGAUUCUCCAGAGAGGAGGGGCGGUUUCUGCUCUCUACUUAUUCCGCUCCAGCCUCACAUCAAAGUGUCGGAGAGAGAGAGAGACUGAGUGUUAGAGAGAGAUCGUGUGUAUAGAUAAGGUUGCUGCUAAGAGCAGCUGCAGACACUCAGUGCAGUUCAGCAUUUUCGUUUAGACCUCAUUUAGCUCUGUAUAUAGUUGUGUAUUAUAGUUGUAGAUAGAAUAAAGAAGAUAUUCUACAGAGCUGCUCUCCGAGUCGUUUAUGCUCUGCUAUACUCUGCUAUACUCUGCUGUGCGACGACUUCUUGUGGAAGUGAAUCCGGUUCUCACAACUCUAAGCUGUGAGUCCACAGCACUUUGACCUGUUCCUGUGCAGAAGAUGGUCUCUGGAAGUGCUACCCAGCUCACCUAGCUCAGUCGGGUCUGAGUGGAUGAGUCCAGUUGGUGACACUGGCUCAAGGGCGGUGCUGACACUAUGGACCUUCUGAUGUUGUUGCACUCCAAUGCAAAUCGUUCUCGGCCAGCAUGUCCAAUGGCCAGGGAUGAUGGGAAUUGUAGUCCAGUACAGCUGGUCAAGAACUGAAGCUCUGGGUGUGCUUUUUGCACAGAGGCUCCAGGCAGGAUCAGGAAGUGAAAUAUGUUCAAGGGUGGUCAGGGAUCAAUCACACAGAACAGAGGAAAGCAAAGUAAUAAGGGGUAUGUGAUUAUUUGGUCCCAGAAAGCAUGCCUUCAAGAAGAGGAAGAUGUGAGAGCUUCUUCCUAGAAAGAUCCAUUUUUAAGGUUCUGUGUUGUCAGAAAUUCUAUAAUUUAUUCUAGGUGGAGAUGGUAAAGUCCACGUUUCUUAUAUUGGACCAGCAUCUUAAAUCCUUGUUGUAAAUUUAAUGUACUGCUGGCCAUUGCCAGAUCUGGCUCCAUAUAACUUUACUGGGCCUAAGGUUGUUCGCUAAGUAUUAACCAAAGGGUAGCAAAAAUAUUUUCACACAGCCUGACUUUUAAGGAAAGAGAGUUACUUUGUGUAUUUAUCAUAUAGAGGUUAUUGCAUUGGCGAAAGAGCAACAUUCCUCUUGAGGGAAUAGUUCAGGAAGCACAUUAUAUUCCACACACAAAAACACACACACACAUUGAUAUGAUACUAUCUGAGCCUAUACAUGGCCAAUAUGAAACACUUAUUUUUAGGUGAUACUGUUUUAAUUUACAAUCUGACAAUUGGAGUGGAAGAGAUCACUCCAAUCCUCAGAUUAGAAUCUCAGACCCUCCAAGUGUCCCUAUUUUCCAGGCACAGUUCCUGAUUUAGAGAAGCUGUCCCGGUUUCUGAUUUAAUCCCAGAAUGUCCCUCUUUUCCUUAGGAUGUCCCUAUUUUUAUUGGAGAAAUGUUGGAGGGUAAUUGAAUUAUCCAACACCCAAGCCAUUUGAAGGCAGCCCUGUAUAAGGAAGCUUUUUAAUGUUUAAUGUUUUAUUAUUAUUUUUAUAUGUUGGAAGCUGCCCAGAGUGGCUGGGGCAACCCAGUCAGAUGUGUGGGGUGUAAAUAGUAAAAUUAUCAUUAUGGAAAGGGAUGUCCCUAUUUUCACCAGAGAAAUGUUGGAGGGUAUGGUAUCAGAGUAGGCCCAACAGUACAGACACUGCCUAUUCCUUUUAUCUCCUCAAUAGUCCAAAAAUCAAUUAAUGCAUUUAUUUGUUUCUUUUUAAUUACUCCUCCAUGUCAUGAUACAGUGGCCUUCCUGUGACUUACGUACGCCCAUUCAGUGUUUGGCCUAAAAGUCACAUGAUGGUGCUCACAGAAAGAUUACUCUAGAGAAUAGCAAAACUAGGAUUUGCUUUAGAUGAAAAAAUAAUCCACUCUGGUUCUUUCGCCACACUCCUUUCCCCCUCUUGGCUCGGUAAAAUAUUAUUUCAAUAGGACUUUGUCAAUCCAAGUCUUAUUAAAGACCCCCAUGCGAAUUUCUCAAAUUUGAUGAAUUAGUAAGGAAGUGAGCAAACGUGUAGGGUGACAUUUAGCUUAACAAUGCAGAUUCCGCUUCAAUUAUUUAUAACCCUUUGCACUUGUCAAUGCACAGCACAUAGGUUUUGAAAAAAUAAUGAAGCUGAGCAUUAUUAUUAUUUCUCAUUUCAGUGGCUCUCCUGUUAAACCUUUGCGACAAGUGAGGGAGAGAAUGCCAUUUUUAGUCACAUUAUAAAGUGGGAGGAUUAGUUAAAUGUAGAUUAGCAAGUUGAGUUGGAGCAGCAUAUUUUAAAUUCUUCCAUUAACUUUUGGAUCUGUGUUGUCAGCGCCUUUCAUACAAACCAUUUGGAGCAGCAUUUCUGCCCAGCCCCACUUUUGACCCACACGCAUUUGUCCUGGGUAGUUGAGAAGGGUCUUUGCAGAAAGUCAAUGUGGAGGUGGGUUCAUGUGAACUGUUUUUGUUUUGUCUCCAGUGAGAGCUGACCAGUACAUUGACUGAGUUAGGCGAAGGGACCCUGAACUAGUCUGAUUCAGUCGUCACCUAAAAGUGUGCGCCCUGAACGUAUAAUAAUAAUUUAUAAUAAUAAUUUAUUAUUUGUACCCCGCCCAUCUGGCUGGGUUUCCCCAGCCACUCUGGGCGGCUUCCACAGAAACCAAAAAUACACUAAAAUCACACAUUAAAAACUUCCCUGAACAGGGCUGCCUUAAGAUUUCUUCUGAAUGUCAGGUAGUUGUUGAUCGCUUUGACAUCUGAUGGGAGGGUGUUCCACAGGGCGGGUGCCACUACCGAGAAGGCCCUCUGCCUGGUUCCCUGUAGCUUUGCUUCUCGCAAUGAGGGAACCGCCAGAAGGCUCUCGGCGCUGGACCUCAGUGUACGGGCAGAACGAUGGGGGUGGAGACGCUCCUUCACGUAGGGAGAAGAAGGGGUGAAUUAGCAAGCCUUCCCUCCAAUGUCCACACACUUGAUGGCUUCAUUUCAGACAUCCUCGCAUCAAGAGGGGACGUCUGAAAGGGGAUUCUAGGGGUGUUCAGGCUUAACAUGUCUUGUUUAGAACACCACCUGCAGGGUUCUAAAGAGCUCCAGGUGUCCGAUUUUUGCUUGAACAAUUAGGAUUUAUUUAUUUUUUUAAAAAAACUUUAACCAAGCUUUCAACUUUUUAAAAUACCAUAUCUUUCCGUGUAUAACACCCCCCCCCCCGGUAUAAGACGACCCCUAUUUUGGAGGACUCAAAUUUAAGAAAAUGGGGGGAGAUGGCCCAGAGUUGUUGAAAACUCAUUCACUCGCUCGCACUGCCAAAUUCAACAAACGUGUGCCUGCUCACCAACAGCAGCCCGCAAUCGCAAGCCCAUCUGCCGCAGCUACAGCCAAUCCAAAGCAGCCCUUUCCGCAUCAACCAAUCACCCACACAAUUAAGGCAGCAGCAGCCAAUCCAAAGCAGCCCUCGUAGCAACCACCAAUCAACCACCAAAUCACCACUGACAAGCUCCUGCUUGGGGCUGCAACCCAUCACCCCCCCCAUGCACUAUCCAUGUAUAAGACGCGCCCGAAUUUUGAACAUUAUUUUACAGUAAAAAAAAAAAUAACCUCGUCUUAUACAUGGAAAAGUAUGGUACCUUCACCUGUUGUGCUUAACAACACCAACAGCAGCAGCCCAGAAGCUCUUUGGUACUCCAUGUGCAACAUUUUUGACAGCAUCACUCCUUGAAAAACCCAUGCAAAAGGCACGGACCGAAAUAAACAUGGAGACAUAUGAAAACAAAAGGCUAUUUGGGACCCAAAAGUGCAGAAAAACAGAGUGGCAGAAUGCUCUGUGACUUUGUGGAGACCCUGAUCUGGCACAGGGAAGAGGGAUUGACAUAAUGCUUUUACUUUUGGGGGGGGAGACCAAUGAAUCGCCCUGAUUCUCCUUAUUCUUUGUACUCCAUGCAGUCCACUCCCCUAUUGCUAGAUAAGCAAUUGGGGGCGGCGAGGACAAGGGAGGUUGAGUCAGGGUUCGUACAUUAAGCUAUUAUGUUUAAAAAUAGCCUGAGUACUGGGACUUCCGGGGGAGGCGCCUCCAGUAAUGGCAGAAUUCCUCUGACCGGGAGGAAUCUGCAUCGUGGAAAUCUGGGUCUGGCCUCCACGGCGAAGGUGGAGACCCAUUAAAAUCACAGGCGGGAGAAGCCUGUGAACGUGGGAUUCGGCGGGCACCUUUUGCGCCUCCCCCACUCGCGGGGAACCCCGGUUUUUGGGGCUCCGGAGCGACGCGGUGCAUCAAAUCGUCUGCUUCUUCCACGGAGCGAAGCCGCAUAGCUGUUGCCGGAGAGUGCUGACCUUUUCCUGUGGACAAUUUGACUUUAAAGUAAUUACCCGUGAGUAGAGCUGAAACGGAAGAAUUGGAUUUCUAAAAGUUUAAUUUGGUAUCGUAACGGGGAGGUUCAAAACAGGAAGUCCGCCUUCCCCUUGUGUAAAUAGACUGAGGCAAUGAAGUUGCAAGCUGGAGUCCUGGAAGGUUUUUUUGUAAAAGAUCAAAUUUCCAACGGUAAAGAACAUUAAACCCCCUCUUGGAGGCAGGAGAAGAGAGGGGGAAGUUGCGGAUUGAGUAUGCCUGCGGGAGAGAGUGAAAAGAUUUAAAACACCGCCACUCUGACCCUGGGAACGGGCUGCUAGUAGGACUGACAUCUUUUGGAAUGUUCAUUGACAGCGCUUAGAACGUUCAUUGACAGCUAGCUAAAUAAGAGAAAUACAUUGUUUCUACUGUCUCCAGCUGCUUUAAAAAGGAGUAAAAGUAACUGAAAAUUGAAACUAAUUUGAAACUAACUUUGGAUUGUUUAAAAGAGGAUACUAUUGACUAUUACAAAUAGAAACUGUUUCCCCCUAGUGGAAGCCUUUGAAACUGGUUGAUUUACAAGAGUUGUACUAGGGGAAUUUCCAGUUGCAAGUUAAAAACCGUGAGACUCUGGGACUGACCUUGAAUCUUUCAAAUGUUAUUGUAAGUGGAAGAGGAAAAACAGACCAGUCAACUGUUGAUAAAACAUUAAGGUCUGGGAGGACUUGGUAACAAUCCAGGAGAGGUCUAUUAUUAGGCCCUCCUGUUCUUUUUUGUUGCUGUCUUUGUACUAGUAUAUUUGAAACUAAGAGGAAUGUCGACAGAAGAGGCUUUGGUGGCUGCAUUAUAUGAGAUAAAUGAUUCAUUGGAUCAGCUUCACAGGAAAAUGGACAUGAUAAAUGCGAAAGUGGAUGUUUCAAUUGUUGAGGUUGACUUGAAUGCAGGGAGUAUGGACAAUACCAAUACAGAAACCACCCAGAAAUUGAUACAAGAACCUAUUUUGAUAUGGCAAGCUGUGGAGGAAGUCAAGGAAAAAGCUGUUGCUGUUGAAGGUACAGAAACACAACUGGAGAGAAAGAGAAAGAGAGCCCCAGCCCUACAGAGGCAAUUUGAUGAACAUAAGUUGACGCUCGCUAUGACUGAACUUAAGGAAAAACAGACGAAUUUGAGGAUUAGAGUUCACCUUUGGUGGACAUGCCCAAGGAUUAAGACACUCUGGGAGAUGAUUCAUAACGAAAUGAAAAGGUAUUUAAAUAUACCCUUUUGAAGAAACCAGAGGCCUUUCUCCUGGGCAUGGUCGGUCAAUUGGUGUUAAAGAAGGAUAGAAUUUGUCUCAUGUAUGCAACAAUAGCAGCAAGAAUACUCAUUGUGAAGUACUGGAAGACACAAGAUUUAUCCAUUCGGGAAGAAUGGCAGAUGAAGUUGAUGGACUAUAUGGAAUUGGCGGAAACGACUGGCAGAAAUCCGAGACCAGGGAGAAGAGCUGGUGGAAGAAGACUGGGAAAAGUUUAAGACUAUUUAUAGAAAUACUGUAAAAAUAAUGAAUGUUUGAAAAAUGUUGGAAUGAAGUUAUAUGGCUUUAGUAGAAAUGCUAUAAGGAAUCAAGUAUAAAUAGAUUAAUAGUGUAUUAAAGGGAAAAUAAGGCUAGAAUAUGUCAAGAUAAUUAUAGGAUAGAAAACAGAGGAAGAUGGAAAGGAAUUGCUGAAAUAAUUAAUAGAAGUGGAAAACAAAGGGAGGUGUGAGGAGGUUGUGGAAAUAAGGGAAUGAAAGAUAAGACAUUGAAAUUGUUCUGUGUUUGAAAUGGUUUGUGUCAUGCUUUGUUAGUUUUAUGUUUUUCUGUUUUUUCUUUUUUUGUUCUUUCUUUUUAUUUUUGUCUUUCUGUUUUGUUGUGUUUAAAUGGUUGAAAAUUAAUAAAUAUUAUUUUUUUAAAAAUAGCCUGAUUACUGUAUCGCUUGUAAAAAUAAAAAAUCGUCAGUUGGUGAUGAUAAUAGCUAUCACUAAAACCUGUACUCCAAUUUCUCAAAAGAGUUCUUCACCUCUAAAAGGGGUUUCUACUUUUCCACCUCAUUGUCAGAGCACUUUAGAAUUAAUUGAAUGUUGGAGGGUGUGGGGUCGAGUUUACCUUACUUACUUACUUAUUGCCUUCCACAUACAUGUCUCAAGAAGAUGUUCAAAAUACAAUAAAAACGGCUAGAAAGCAGUUAAAGGGAACUCUGAGAAUAGCAGGAGACAAAAUUAAAAACAAUACAAAGCAGGAACCCACAGGAGAAAACUAUUCAUCCACAUGGGGAAACCAUUUUUUGGUGGACAUGGGUGGUAUGUGUGUGUGGUUUCUUUUCAAUAAAUAUUUCUCCAGCACUCUGUAGCCUUCCUGGCUCCCCAUGCUUCCUGGUCUGAAAAAGAAAACAAAAAACAUUGAAUGUGUUCCCUCAUGAUGUCUUCCACUGGAGCAUAGGAUGCUGGGGACACUUGACUACUGAGAUUGGUGUGCUUGCUGAUUUUGUUUUGGAGGGAAGUCUCUCCUUUUACCUUAAACAGUAAAAAGACUUUUUACACACAGGGAAAUGACUAAUAGUGAACAGAUUUAAGACACACAGCAGACAGACUUCCAGAUUUCCUGUGCUUAUAGGAAAGCCCGCCUGAGGAUGCCACAGGGUUUUCAAGAAAGGCAAGCACCCAGAAAGGCUGCAGAUCACUCCCUGACCGCCUUGAAAAAUAGGUGAAGCACAAAAAAAACCCCUCUUCGCAGCACCACCAAGAAGUUCACUGAGCUGUUCUCGUUCCUUUAAUCAUUUUCAAAUGCAACUUCUUUUUUUCUCAUUAAUUGAUGGAGAACGGUUGAGGGAGGGUGUGCAUGGGUAAAAUCUUUGGCGCUACUAAUUGCUAUCCGCUAACAAACUACUGUCUACUCACCUGUAAAACAAAUGUCAGGAGCAGCUGCUGGUCUCCUCAGCAACAGCAAGACCCCUAGCUGCUCCUGACAUUGGUAUCCUUAAAAAAAGCGUCUGGUAUGCCAAGUAGCAGCUGGUAACUGAGUAUAGUCAUCAUUUUGUUUUCCCACACCAUUACAGCACCAUUCUGGGGCAUUGUGGAAAAUGUAAAUGGCGGCUGUUUAUCCCCACCAUCAGGGAAGGUACCAGGGACCACUGACAGGGAAUCUAGAAGGCACUUAGAGAACCUUCAAAUUGGGACCUGGCUCUGGUCAGAAGAAUGAUAUGUUAACAGAAGGCCUCAGAGGAAGGGUCACCAAGCAGGCACUCACAAGCAACCACCAAUACCCCCUGUCAAUAUGGCAGCUGUAAAAGCUCUCAGUAAAUAUCCCUUCAAAAAUCCAUGAAAGACUGUUUGGUCUUCAUGUUCUGGUCUGGUUUGAAUUGGCUCAGCCUCUCUUGCAUUGAAUAUGCCCUCCCCAGACAUGUCCACAUUUAAAUGAAUGUCAGGUUUGGAAACCCGCCCAACAUAGGAGCCAACUCCUAGGGGCUGAGGUCUCUUUCUCCCCCCCCCCCCCAUAAAAUAUUUAGAUGGGGCUGGGGGAAGGGAGGCCCUAAAGUUGAUGGGCUUUGCCAUUCAAGUGGUAUGUAUGUCUUGUGAUCAAUUAUAUGGGAUGGGACAUCCCUGCACACACAGACACACACCCCAAUAUUUUAUUCAAGUUGGCAUCCUUGCCACUCACCAUUCCAUUCUGAACAGGUGAGAAGUGGAAAGAGCUCUUUUCUGUAGUUGAUGUAGGUGCCUUUCCCCCACCAUUCAUGGGGGAUAUGCCGCUUCUUAGGGGGUAUGCUUUUUGUGGUUCUUCUUCUUUUUCACCUCUUUUAGAUGGGCUGGCCAUUUUGUGUUAAUCCAUGGCUCCAUGGCAUCCAUUUUAUGUUACCACAUGCCCUCCACAGCAGCCAUUUUGUGACUUAUACCCACAGCAACUCUCUCAUAAUUCCAAAUGCGCCUACUGUUCCAAAAGGAUUGGUGACCCGUGCCUCAGAAUAUGCAUGACACAACAAGUCCCACCAAGGAGAAUAUGUUGCUUUUCGAUAAUAUAUUUAAACAAGUGUUUCUGAUGAAAACGAAUGAUACAAUGUGACUCACAAUCACAGGCACCCCACAUCUUUUGCAUUUCCUAAGGAAGGGGAAACCCUUUCUGUCAUAUUCGAUUCAGUCCUGCCUGUACAAGCUUCUAUAAGUUUCAUUUUUCCAUGACAGCUACGUUUGACAGACAGCAGCUUACUCUGGCAACUUUGUAUCACAUUUUCCUAACCAUGUAAAUUCUGUUGACAGCCUCAUAAACCUAAAUUGUCAGGCAUGGUGUCCCAAAGCAAUGCUUAUUAAAAUACACCAAUGGAACAGAAUAAAUAUGUUAUUUAUGUACAGCAUACAUAUGGUGUAACCUGGAACAUUUUUUUUUUAAUGUAAUAACUGUGAACAGAAACUUGUAGGGGACGUUUGACAGUGUCAAAAAGUUUUGCUUGAGUGGUAGAAAUUCAGAUGCUUAUUGCAUACUCGUUGGAUAAUUUUCAUAAUGUGCAGUGAAAUUGUAAACUCGCUAUGGAGGUAGCCCCAUGGAACUUAUUUCUGAGUACAAACAUGCUUAGGAUUCCUGUCAGACUCUACCCUUUCUGUUUGGAAUCAGACAUUCAGACAACUCUGAUUUUGUAGCCACAUUUAACUAUCAAAUCCAGAAAAUUUGUCUUUUUACAAUGAACAAUAUUGUUGCAUGCCACCACAAUCUCCUAGUGGUACAAGAUUCCAGGGUGCUUGCCCAGGGUUUAUGUUUUCUUUUGGAAAUGAGGCACAUUGGAGACUGUGGUGUCUUUAUGAUAUAUGGUUUAUUUACACAUAUAUGCAUUCUUAGCACUCCCAAAGGGCCUUGUUUCUCCCAUGGCUGUGCCCUAGGAUUCAAACAGAAAUUAAGCAUUGCUCUCAAUCAUUUCUACUGGUUCUCUCGCUCUCCAAUAUCCUGCUUUGCUUCUAGGUCCCAUCACUGCUAGACCUCCGCUCCCAACUGUCUUUGCCUGUUGAGGGAGGGCCUACCACCUCUCUGCCAUCUUGCACCAAGCCCCUUAAUCUCCCAUCACUUUACCAGGAAGCUAGUUUGGCUACUUUCUGGAACAAGAAAGCUUGAUUAGCUUUUAACACUUGCUGGAUCCAGGAAUUAGAGAGGGUUGGCACACAUACACCCAGCCCCAAACUUACAACAAUAUAAAGAAAAACCGACAAGCCCGAUUCAGAGACUAUUAACUGUUCUUAAGUGGUCCUGAAAUUAAAAGUGUCAAAUGCAAUUAAUUUUUGCUACGUUGGGAGGCAUGUCUCUUAUUUGAAAACUCUCACAUUGAGAUAUGUUCUUUCCGCCAACUUCUGUCCCAGCUUCUGCCAACCUCGCAGUUCGAAAGCAUCCCAGUGCAAGCAGAUAAAUAGGUACUGCUGUGGUGGGAAGGUAAACAGCGUUUCCAUGCACUCUGGUUUCUUUCCUGGUGUCCCAUUGCACCAGAAGCGGUUUAGUCAUGUUGGCCACAUGACCUGGAAAGCUGUCUGUGGACAAAUGCUGGCUCCCUCGGUCUGAAAGCAAGAUGAGUGCCACAACCCCAUAGUCACCUUUGACUCAACCAUCCAGGGGUCCUUCAUCUAUCUUUACCCAGGACUCUGGGUGUGCCAGAAUGUAGGCAGCCCAGGAAACAUUUGACCUGACCCGGAUCCAGCCUCCAAUCAAUUCUGGUUUGGGGUUGAUGUAUAAUUAGGUUUUAUUUUAAGUUAAACAUGUAAAUGAGAAGGGGGAGAAAUAGAUUGCAACUCCGCCCCUCAAUUGCACUGCACAGAGUAGGAGGCUUCAGUCCUGCUGGGUGCAGCAGUGGUAGCCCUGCAGGGAAUACAAUUGCAAAGCAGACCCCUGCAACCAGUAAGAUUGAACCCUCCGCUCACCAGCUGGCAAGCAGACUGUGCCAUCCUGCUGGGUGCUGCUUUGCAAGCACCUUCAGUGUAGGGAACAUGCUUCCACAACAGCAGCAGCCUGCAGUCAGCAGGAUUGACCUCUUUAGUGCAAUCCUGUUGGGUGCUGUGUCACAAGCAUCUUCCCUGUAUUACUGAACCCUCUGCUCAGCUUCUGGGGUGCCUGCUCUUCCUGCUCCUCAUUUGCAGUAGAUGCUCAGCUAUUACAAUCUAAAUUUGCCACUUUUGGUGUUACAGUCUGUGCCGGAGACUUAUUCUUAUUUUUGUUCACUUAAACAUCGCUGUAGUGCUUUUUGACUUUACAGUCCUCUGAGUGGCUCACAGCUAUAAAAUUCAUUUCAAAAACCUGAUGGAUAUACACUGCUAUAUACACUUUUAUUGGCAUAUUAGUGCCUGUUUUCACAUUGUAUUAUUCGCUAACCUCUGUAGAGAAUUUAGUGACAUCUGAAAUUAGGUUUAUGUUCUUUGGUUACUGGCUUGGAUUACAAGAUUAUAGAAGAUAUAAACCUACCAAAAUUAUUUUUGACAGAUAUGGUUGCGAUGGAUAGACUCUGCCCAAAUUCCUGGUUGGCUCAUGUAUAUAAAUGGCUAAAUAGCUGAGGGGUUUCCAAGGAGCUUUUCCAAGGCUAUUCUAGAGCUAACUGAUAAAAAGUAGGCUCUUUGAAAUUAAAUUUGAAGAAAAAUUCAUGCUGGGUUUUGCAGUGGCUAUAUCAGAUAGUUGUCUUAUUUGUUGUUUAUUUUAUUUUAUAUGCAUAUCACUUUUUCCAAUCAUAUGCUGUAAGAUUAAUGCAAGAGAGUUGUAGCCAUUUGUUGUAUUAUUGUUUUUCAUUCUAUUGAAAAUUGCAAAACAUAAUGUCAAAAUCUCUUGAUAGUUAGAUAGGCUAUUGCCAUAUAGAUCUAGUUUUUACUUGAUCUAAGGUUUUUUUGUUUGUUUAUAGAAAGAUGGGGCUUAAUUCCCUCCCACUGCAAUACAGUAUAUAGCACAACUUAAAUUAGUAUGGGUGUACACUUUAUGAAGCAAGGUCUUGCCAAUCUGUUGAGACAUUUGAUCCCUUAAAACAUGACUCCAGUUGGGUGUUUCAGCCAUAGACAAUAUUUUGUAGAGAGGGAUGCAGUAGACAAUAGGAAAGAAAGUCUGAAGACCACACUACACAAUACAUGAAAUGGGUGGCUGCAUCUCACAAAUCUGAGUUGUGCGUGUUUGCGUUUUAAUAGCUACAUUUUAUUAUGUUAUUUAUAUGUGUUUGAAGCUAGCCAGAGUAGCUGGGGCAACCCAGUCAGAUGGGCGUGGUAUAAAUAAUAAUAAUAUCAUCUGCUCUGGCCCUAAAUUCUCCUCCUUUUCCCCUUUGGAGCUAGUCUGUCAUGACUGGUUCUCAGUGCUAUUUUUCUAGAAAAAGAGGUGCCGGAACUCACCAUGAACACCUCCCUCGUUCUGGCAAGUUCCCCCUGAAAAAAAGCCCUCCUGGUACUUAUAUCCAAUGAAGUCUUCCCAAUUAUGCAAGGACUACUGCUCACACAAUGGAACUCCCUCUCCUCCCGAUUUUUUUUUCUGAGGGCGUCCCCUAGCCCUUCAGAGUAGAUUUGCGAGGCAGAGGGAGGAAGGGAUGUCUCAUUACAUAAGCGAGAGUCAUUGCACAAACAGGACCGCAUCAGUGGAUACAGCCUGUACAUGGCUUGCUUUAUAUUAUACAGUGGUACCUCGGGUUAAGAACUUAAUUUGUUCUGGAGGUCCGUUCUUAACCUGAAACUGUUCUUAACCUGAGGUACCACUUUAGGUAAUGGGGCCUCCCGCUGCUGCCGCACCGCCACCACUGCACAAUUUCUGUUCUCAUCCUGAAGCAAAGUUCUUAACCUGAGGUACUAUCUCUGGGUUAGUGGAGUCUGUAACCUGAAGCGUCUGGAACCUGAAGCGUCUGGAACCCGAGGUACCACUGUACUGUGAAAUGCUUUGCUUAUAAUCAGCACACUACAUAACCAUUACUGGAUGGAUUGUUUUUGAUGACUUACAGCUAAAAUAUGCGCAGGAAAAUCUAUGGCAGAGAUACAUCUGUAUUCUUCUUGCUCACCUCUCCUGUACUGUGCUGAUGUUGUUUGACCAUAGGAGCCAACUCCUACCUGAAGUUGAUGGGCAUUGCCAUUCACAUGGUGUGCAUGUUACACAUCUUGUGAUCGAUUAUGCAGGGUGGGCCCCCCUAAUAUUUUAUUCAAGUUAGCACCCCUUUGUCUGACUCUGAAAUUAGAUGCAAAACUUUACGAAGUUAUGGGGAACGGCAUUUGUCCUGCAGUGCAGUUAGGUGGCACUUAUACUUUGAGCUUGGCUAAAAAUACAUCAGCCCAGUGAAUAAAGUUGAUCUUACCUAUAUCUAGAAACUAGAUAAGGGUCAGUGAACCAGGGGCGUAAUGUGGGGAGGGCCAUGGGGGCCAUAACCCCUGGUGCACGGUUUUGAGGGGGUGUGAGCCAAGUGCACCCAUGCAGGUAUCCCUACCCUGCUUGCUGCCAAGGGUUUCUGGGCCUCAGAGCCUUGCCAAUGUGCCUCCUGCCCCCUUGCUGAAUGGCCACCUGGCUAGUGUUGGGGGGAUGUGCCUGCCAAGGGCCAUGUCAGCUGGCUGGGCUCCCCCCCUGCAUGGGUGGGUGGCGCAGUGCAACCCUGUGAACCCUCCAUGCCCUGUGCCUGCCCAGUGGUGGUGGUGAUGGUUCAGCUGCUGUAAUGGGUUUUGUUCACCCUCUGUGCCCAAUCCCUCAUCCUACCUAGUGUGCAUGCAGACAAACGCCCCGGGUGCCAGUAAAGGAUGCUACGCCACUGCAGUGAGCAUAAGCCUGAGGGGCACGUGUUAGCAGCCUGUUUCUUCAGCCUUGGAAUUUUCAAGGAUGCAUUUAACAAAACUGUAUAUCUCAGCAGUUGUUGUCCUGUCCGUAAAAUGAGAAUGAGAAUGAUGCAGGGUUGUUGUGAAGGUGAACACAAGACCAUAAAGAUAUGUGUAAAACUGAAAGUAAUAGUGCUACAAAUAACAGCAGGAGUGAUAAAUAAUAGCCAACGCUUGUAGCAUUCGACAAACAAGCGCUCCUAACAAGAUGUGUGUGAGGGGAAUCCCAAAUGGGCUCACCAGCCCAAUGUGACCUCUUUGCAUUUCUUACUUGGAAAACAGAUCAGCCUGACUACGAGGGCUAAGGACCCCUUUAGUAAUUCUGCAGUUGCCAUUAAAUGCCACCACAUGCUGCAGUGUACAAAACGCAUUGUAGGUCACCUUAUGUUCUGCCUAGCUGUGUGUGCCUGUAUGGAUGGAGAUAUUAUACCAGUAUGUAUUUAUUAUAUGGCAUUAGUGCAUCUUAACGAGCAUUGCUGUGGGAUGCCUGCCAAUUUAUGUUUAUGAGCCUGUCAACCUAAUUUACAUGCCUUUGAAAAUAUACAACAUUGCCAGUGCAGGGUCUGCUUGUCGGAUGAUCUUGUCAGGCAGAAAUGAAACACUCAUCCAGCUGAGGAGAAAAGCAUAUUCAUUACUGCUGGCUCCACUGAAUUCUUGGUGACACAGUGAAAUACAUUUAAUGCCAUUUUGCAUGUUUCAUUCAGAGAGAGAGAGAGAGAGAGAGAGAGAGAGAGAGAGAGAGACUGACUGACGGCUGUCUUAUAUAAAAUAUGCUUUGCACUUAAUCUCCCAUCUUGCUUCCAAACAAAAUAUGAGGCCAGUAGCCAAUCCUCAGUAACAUUUGUAUAUUAGCAGGCAGCAGGGGAGGGGGUGAUCUUUGUCUGAAAAAUUGAAGAUGCUGUUUUUAAAAAUUCAGAAUAACGUGUUGGAGCUGAAGUGAAAAAGAAGCAGCUCUGUCUAAGACGGAAGAGACCCACGACAUAGGCUGGUAGGAGUUCACUCCAAGCUCUUGACUGGGUAAUUAGUGCAGUGGACUGACAAGCGCUCUGCUUUCCUGCCAAUUAUACCUCUUGCACCGUGACUUUUAGAAUAAUUUGGAGCAAGGAUUUUUAGAAUGUCAUCCUAUCAUUUCUCAUUUAAUUCUGCAUUUGCCUACAUUGCUCUGUGAAAUCUCCCAUUGAAUUCAGCCGGUGUUUCAAGCCAAGGAGCCCCGAUGCAUCAGUAUAAAGUUCCUAUUAUCCAGAGGCAUUUUUUUAAAAAACCUCCUCUACUAGGUGUUGUUACCCACACAAAAACAAUAACAACAUCCGUACAGCAGAAUGGGCAAGUGGGGCAGAAAAAUCCAGUCCAGACUUUCUUGACGAGGUGCUGUUGGUUCUGAGUUGACUUCUUCAUGAUCAGGAAAGUGCAUACUAAUGGUAUCAAACAGUUGCCUCAUGUCAAGAGUUAGGUGAGCAGAAUGAAACUUAAUUUUCAAGGAGGUGAAGGUCCUGUGUGAGUGCCUGGAGGCGGUUGGAGAAUGGAUGGCAGCUAACAGAUUGAGGUUGAAUCCUGACAAGACAGAAGUACUGUUUUUGGGGGACAGGGGGUGGGCAGGUGUGGAAGACUCCCUGGUCCUGAAUGGGGUAACAGUGCCCCUGAAGGACCUGGUGCGCAGCCUGGGAGUCAUUUUGGACUCACAGCUGUCCAUGGAGGCGCAGGUUAAUUCUGUGUCCAGGGCGGCUGUCUACCAGCUCCAUCUGGUACGCAGGCUGAGACUCUACCUGCCUGCGGACUGUCUUGCCAGAGUGGUGCAUGCUCUAGUUAUCUCCCGCUUGGACUACUGCAAUGCGCUCUAUGUGGGGCUACCUUUGAAGGUGACCUGGAAACUGCAAUGCGGCAGCUAGACUGGUGACUGGGAGUGGCCACCAGGACCACAUAACACCAGUCCUGAGAGAUCUGCAUUGGCUCCCAGUACGUUUCCGAGCACGGUUCAAAGUGUUGGUGCUGACCUUUAAAGCCCUAAACGGCCUUGGUCCUGUAUACCUGAAGGAGCGUCUCCACCCCCAUCGUUCAGCCCGGACACUGAGAUCCAGCACCGAGGGCCUUCUGGCGGUUCCCUCAUUGUGAGAAGUGAGGUUACAGGGAACCAGACAGAGGGCCUUCUCGGUAGUGGCGCCCGCCCUGUGGAACGCCCACCCUUCAGAUGUGAAGGAAAUAAGCAGCUAUCUUCUUUUUAAAAGACAUCUGAAGGCAGCCCUGUUUAGGGAAGUUUUUAAUAUUUAAUGCUGUAUUGUUUUUAACACUUGAUUGGAAGCCGCCCAGAGUGGCUGGGGAAACUCAGCCAGAUGGGCGGGGUAUAAAUAAUACAUUAUUAUUAUUAAUAUUAUUAUUAAUUUGAACAGGACAAAUGUGCUGUUGGUCAGAAAGGCUGCCAACCUAUCCUGUAAACUUCCUCUAGGACAAAAAGCUUUUGCAAGAGUUUUGACCAGUAUUUGGUCAAGGAAGCAUUCAGCUCCAUUAUCAUUUCAGUUACACCAGUGCUGGUCCACUUUUAGGCACAAUUUGUAAUGUUAGCUACGUGUAUCACCUAAACUCCUACACGGUGAUAAACCAUGAUUCCUAAAAUCCUCGUCUGAGAAGGCAUUUCUGUGUAUUUCUUUAGGUGCCAAAUACUUUACUAUUCCAGGGCCACACAGUCUUGUUACACGUUUGAGGACAGAACUAGGCCUGCUGUGUGUCUCAAAAAUGUGUCACAAAAAUGUGUGCAAUAGAAAUUAAUUGUUUAGCAUUUGUAUUAGUACAAAGAACAUUAAGGUCAUCUUUUGAAAACUUACUUUUCUUGAGUGUGAAAUUCAAAAAAAGGGGGGAAAUAAUGGGAUGUACAACAAUGCAGAACACCAGUCAGCUGCUUGCAUGGCUUCACUUCACAAUUGUUCCCUUGCACACUAGAACAGAAGAUUCUUGUCAGUCUGGAAUGCUUUUUGAAAAUGACAGAAAGAGGGGAAAUGUUUUGUAAUGUCUUCUGAGUGGCUUAAUGUAAGGGCUGCUUUAUUGUUUUGAAACAAUAGAUGAGUAAAUUCUCUUAAAAGUCUGAAAGCUUGCAAUCAAUUGCACUUCUGCUUGUUUUCUUCAUACCUCAUUUUCACAGAAAUGAAUUGCAGAGAAGGUAUAAGGUACAGGGCAGGAUAGAGACUCCGAAUUUGGCAGAAAGCAAACCACUCCCCACAUAAAUGACACUUGCAGUAGAUGAGAUUGGUGGUGCAUUGUGGUGUCCUAAGUUUGAAAGUAACACUAGUUUGAAAGACUUGUAGCUCAGUCAUAAAGUCAUGGUUUAUUCUGAGCACUUUCCUUUUCUCCCAAGCAUUUAAUUUUUAAUUUUCUUCUUUCUGCUAUGCUGUAGUUAGCUGCUGGCUGGUACUUUAGUGUUGAUUAUGCUGACAUUUUAGGGAGGCUGUUGAUGUGUUUUAAUUGUUGCAGAUUUUUGUAUAAUCAUUUUCAGUCUUCCCUUAUUAUACUUAAUUUUAAUAAUAAUAAUAAUAAUAAUAAUAAUUUAUUUAUUUUUACCCCGCCCAUCUGGCUGGGUUUCCCCAGCCACUCUGAACAGCUGCCAACAUAAUAAUAAUAAUAAUAAUAAUAAUAAUAUUAAUAAUGUGAUAAAACAUCAAACAUUAAAAACUUCCCUAAACAGGGUUGCCUUCAGAUGUCUUCUAAAAGUCAGAUAGUUGUUUAUUACCUUGACAGCUGAUGGAAGGGCGUUCCACAGGGCAGGUGCCACUACCAAGAAGGCCCUCUGCCUGGUUACUUGUAGCUUCACUUCUCGCAAUGAGGGAACUAUCAGAAGGCCCUCGGAGCUGGACCUCAGUGUCCGGGCUGAACGAUGGGGGUGGAUACACUCCUUCAGGUAUACAGGGCCGAGGCCGUUUAGGGCUUUAAAGGUCAGCACCAACACCAACAUAAUGUUAUUAUGUUGCUGUGGGAAGGUAAACGGCAUUUCUGUGCACUCUGGCACUCGUCGCAGUGUUCCGUUGCACCAGAAGCGGUUUAGCCACAUGACCCAGAAAGCUAUCUAUGAACAAACGUCGGCUCCCUCAUCCUGAAAAGUGAGAUGAGUGCCACACCCCAUAAUCACCUUUGACUGGACUUAACCAUCCAGGUUACCCUUGACCUUUACCAACUUAACUGUCAUUUAGUUUCAUAAUGACAUUGCAUUUGUUGAUGUUAAGUCAUCUUGAAACUUCUUGUGCUACAGUGGCAUCUUGGAAGUUGAGCGGAAUCUGGUCUGGAAGUCCGUACAACUUCCAAAAUGUUCAGAAACCAAGACAUGGCUUCUGAUUGGCUGCUGGAAGCUCCUGCAGUCAAUUGGAAGCCAUGGAAGCCAUGUCAGACAUUUGGGUUCCAAAGAACAUUCGCAAACUGGAGCACUCACUUCUGGGUUUGUGGCAUUCGGGAGCGAAAACAUUCGACUAGCAAGGUGUUCGCGAACCAAGGUAGGACUGUAUAAGGCAAUGAAUAAAUAAAGCUAAAGGGUGACAUCCAAUGAUUUCUGCUUGCUUGUGUAAUGGAAAUCUGUUUCUGCAAUGAGAAGAUUUCUCUUCAACCCCACAGUAGAUUUUGGGAGUGUGCAGAAGGUUGCAAGGGGGAGAAGGGGAAGCCCUAUUGUAUGAGCAGACACUUUCUCCUGCUACAUUGGAUCUCGCCCAAUAGCAACAGUUAUUAAUUAGUUGCCUUCCUACCGCUAAACUCCACAGAAAAGUAGAUUUGCCUAAAGCGUGUAAGGCUCUCCCAGAAAUAUUUCACUCUAAUAGGAACAUAACAUAAAUUACCCUCGCUUUAUCCAUCACCAUUUCCUAUGUAUAAUAUACCAUUACAUUCUGUCCAUUCAUACUGAUCUGCAAUAGAUCUGCAUAGUGUCAGCCUAAUGCCAAAUGACAGGUGUCGAAAAUGUAAUAAAAGCUGAGACACGUUAAUCCAUUUUGUUUGAAACUGUGGAAAGGUAAUCAGAUUCUGAAUGGCUGCCUAAGCUUAAAAAUACAGUUGCUAAGAUGUUUCUUCCAGAAACAAUCAUAUCUAAGAUUCUGAUUAGAAAAGAGGAACUCCUGCGUAAAACUGCCUUAAAUUAUAACAAUUUUGUGGUAAAGAUGCUGAGGACACACUGUGAAAUACUAAACAAAUCAUGAAGCUGUAUGACGAGCACCCUGGAGUUAUUCUGUAGCACAUUAAAGAGCGAAAGCUGUUCUUCUGUGCCCAUUACUAAUGUUCUCUCCUGCCACUGUCCUGCUCAAAAUGGAUUUGAGCUGUGAAGGUGGUGCUUAGAUAGGGAUGAGGCAGAGUCCCAAGGAUGAGAUGGAAACUCUGGGGUGGGGGCUGCAUCUGGCUCGCAGGCCUGCAGUUCCCCAUCCUUGCUUUAGCCCAUGAGUUCUCAGGUCUCACACGGGUCUAAAGACACCAGUCUUUCUGCCACCACACCAAGUUCACUUGCCUUCCAGGUAAGUCAAAAGAUCUCAAGCUGAGGAUUGUUACGGGCUCAAGAAGUCAAGAAGACUAUCGCUGCAACCACCUCACUUCCAGCGUAGGACCUAUUCCGUCUCACUCUUUUGUAAUUCCAUGUUUCACACAAAAACAAAUACCAAAACAGGGAGGUCAGACUGCAUGGAAGCACAGUUUACCUUCCCACCACAGCAGUACCUAUUUAUCUACUUGCACUGGUGUGCUUUCAAAGCACUAGUUUGGCAGUAGCUGGGACAGAGCAACGGGAACUCACUCCAUCGCAGGGAUUCAAACUGCUGAUCUUCCGAUCGGCAAGCCCAAGAGGCUCAGUGGUUUAGACGACAGCACUACCCGCGUCCCACAAAUAGACCCAAAUUAGCUCAGUAUUCAGGCCUUGGCCAAAUUUACUACACACCCUUUAAGUAUAUCAGGUUGUCAAGAAGACAGAUGAAUCCGCCAUAAGACUAAUUUUUACUUGGAGUCAUCCUAGUGAGACAGGGCAUCAGAACUCUUUGAAUGUGGACUUCUUACAGAUACCUAACACCCCAUUUGGUACUAUCCCUACCUGCUACCUAGUUAUGCAUUAUGCACUGGCUAUUAACCCAUAAGAUCCAAUUCAUAAUGGGCCCUAAUAGGCCAGUCCUUAUUUGGACUUGAUCCUCCAGUCUUCUGGUCACUCACUUAUGAGAUGGCAGGGGGAAAUAGUAUUGUAUUACUCAUGUUUCACUUCUCUAUACCCCGAUUCCCAGAUCUUUUAGUCCUCCCCCCACAAAACAUGGUUGAUUGAUGCCUUUAGUUUGUUAAGAAAAACAAUCAAGGCCCUCUAGUUCAGGGGUCAGCAACCUUUUUCAGCUGUGGGCCGGUCCACUGUCCCUCAGACCAUGUGGUGGGCUGGAAUAUAUUUUGAAAAAAAAAAUAAUGAACGAAUUCCUAUGCCCCACAAAUAACCCAGAGAUGCAUUUUAAAUAAAAGGACACCUUCUACUCAUGUAAAAACACGCUGAUUCCCAGAUGAGCUGUGGGCCGGAUUGAGAAGGCGAUUGGGCCGCAUCCGGCCCUCGGGCCUUAGUUUGCCUACCCCUGCUCUAGUUGGUGAUUGAUUGAUUGAUUGAUUGAUUGAUUGACUCCCAUCAUCCCUGACCACUGGUUAUCCUGGCUGGUGCCAAUGGGAGUUGGAGGACCACAGGACCAUAUUGGAUCAGAUGGGUCAACAAUUAACCAUGACAUAUAAGGCAGCUUCAGAAGUGCCAAAUUAUAUAUGCAAGCUCAUGAGUCAGAAUUUUUCCAUAUUUGAGAGUAGGUUUGAUUCCAAUAAAAGUAAUGGAAAUAGCUUCUCUGUUUUCCCUUUACUGGGCCUACCAUUUGAAGAUCUGUGUAAAUAAUGAUUCUUUAUUCAGCUAUAGUCAUGACCUUACUAGGUGUUUUCGAAUGAGAUGAAAUGUAUUACACAAAAACGAACACUUGGUAACAAUCAAGUGUACCUUUACCGUACCUACUUUAUAUGUAAUUUCUUGUUUUUAUUCCCCCUACUUUAGCAUCCUGUCAAAACAAACUUUAUAUUCUUCAUAAUUAACCAGUGUUUCUGCAAAUACCAGAAACAGGAUUUUUUUUAAAAAACAACAACAAAACAAAACACAAAAGAACUUUCUAUAGAUUUGCCCGCUGAUGCUGGUGGCAUUUCCACACGAGCAGAAUUUUCAUUUAUUUCUGAGACAGUUUACAUAAGGGUUUUCUUUCUCCCCCCCCCCCCCAAAUCACAAAUAAAGGUUACAAAGGCGUAAGUACUGGAAAAUCUCCACCGGAAUGGCGCUGCUUAGGGGAACUUUAAAGAGAAACAAAAAUGUCACUUUUAUGUGUGGCGCACCUCCCUCCUGCUCAGCGUAACUCCUGCGAAUGUUUGGCUUUAUUGUUGAGAGGUUGGUGCAGUCCAUCAUUUCUCGAUAAUAACCUUAAACAAAUGCCAUGUGCAAAGGUCUACAAUUAUGUUGGGCUCAACACAUCAUUUGUGCCUGACAUGAUAGCUUCACUGUUGCCUGGGAUGAAUUAAAAAUUCCUUAAUUAAACGAGACUCAAAGGUGCUAUCAAAAAGGCAAAACAAAACAAAACACAGAAUACCGCCCCUUAAUAACACUGUGUUCUGAGAUGUUACUUGUUUGCCUCUGCAAACUCUUGAUCAUGAGUAGUAUGUUCAAUACUGAGGCAAUGUUAUUACUUGCCUGCCUCGUGUGUGUGUGAGAGAGAGAGGGGGGGAGGGAAGGAGAGGGAGAGAGAGAGAAGGGAAAGGGGGCGUUUCUCCUUCAGUUUGAGUGAUGAGACAUGUGGCACUCAAACAGAGGGCUGACUGCAAGUUAGGAAAGUGGAGAUAAGCAACCUCAGGCUCAGGAGCCAAAUGUGAUGCUCCAGUUCUUUCUUUCUUGCCCUUAGAACUCUCCCCAAACCACACAACUGAGCACAUGCAUUGCAUAUAAUAAGUUCUUGCCGCAGUUGCUGGCUUCUCCUAGUAUAUUCUCUUAUCUGAAUCCCUACCGGGUAAAAAACACCUAUAGGUCACUAAACCAAGUAACAGAAAUAGACUGGGAAAAGCUUCAUCUAGGCUUUCGAUGUACUACAAAUGGCUGCACAGACAUCUGUGGGUUAGUGAGUUUAUCCAGAAGCAAAUACUCAUAUAUUAGCUCACAGCUGCAAAUUGUUCUGCACCUACUGUGUCCAGAAAAUGCAAGUCCCAGACAGGGCUUCUUUGCUCCUGCUGCUGGUCUGGUUUCAGCUGGGGCAAAACGUUCAUGAAUCUCUGGGGGCAAUUUCAUGGUUACUUCACUGUUUCAGUGAAGUCAGUGCGCUUAUCCAUAGGUUCACAAUCUAUUCCUUGCCCCAUAAGUCACAGGAUUGAGGCCAAACAAAUUAAUAAAGCUAUCUUCCUUCAUGCGGACAAAAAAUAAUUGUAUUCAUUUUGAAAACAUGUAAAAUGUGCCAACUUUCACAGGUACAAGAUAAGAAAGUGAUGAAUGGGUCAUAAUGGAGUUAAUAUUCAUAGACUAUAUAUUUCUUGCAUGCAUUUUAUUAACUACAAUAUUGUAUGUAAUUAUGAUCGCUGACCUACUAACGCAAUUGCCUUGGACAUCUUGUAAUAAAGAAUAAGGCACAACCCCUGCAUUCUUUCCAUUCCUAUCCAGAGCAAGAGAAAUUAUUUCAUUUCUUGGGAAAUGAAACCAAGUCUUGCAAAGUGGAUAGCAAAAUCUGUAGAACAUUGGCCUUGGUCAGAAGCAAGGAAAAUGAACUCCCUGAAACAUGUCUUAAUCCACUGAAAAUAACCGUGCAGAUAAUUGCUACAGCAAAGCUGAAAUUAUUCAUUAAAAAGACUUUAGAGGAUUUUAAAUGACUUUUCUCAUAAGCAAACAUUAUAGCAUAGCAGUGAUUCUUGCUCCCUGCACUGAUACUUCCACAAGUAAAAUCUCUAGAGUAGAUUUUUAAAAAGAAGAAGGAAGACAGUAGCAAUGUUUAAAAUUGGCUUGGCUUCUGCUCUUGAGAAAAACAACUCCAGUGAACCACAGACAGAAUCACAGCCCAUGCAUUGGGUGCGUGGGUGAGGGAGAAAUUUGAUUCACUUCACAUUCCAAGGUGAACCUACCUAAUUUGCACUUACUGAAACAGUAUGUGAACCAAAACACGGCCAAUCAUUGGAAUUUGUAAUUAUCUGAAUUUUGCACGGCAGUUCUCCAGCCAAGUAACAUGUACAGAAAUGUGUGUACUAGGGUGAAAAUGUGCAUAAAAUGUAUGUACUGUAUGAGUGAAAAUAACAUACAAAGAUGCAUUAUAUUGAGGGGGAAAGCUUUGCAAGAAUUUGUACACAAAUGUACCUAUUAGAAGAAAUUUGUGCUAAGAUGCUGGUGAAUUUUCAUGAGGACUUUGUUUUCAACAACAAAAAGCACACAAAUGUAGAAAUUUGCAGGCCUGAACUUAAAGGUAAAGGUAAAGGUACCCCUGCCCGUACGGGCCAGUCGUGUCCAACUCUAGGGUUGUGCGCUCAUCUCACUUAAGAGGCCGGGAGCCAACGCUGUCCGAAGACACUUCCGGGUCACGUGGCCAGCGUGACGAAGCUGCUCUGGUGAGCCAGCACCAGCGCAGCACAUGGAAACGCCGAUUACCUUCCCGCUAUAAAGCAGUACCUAUUUAUCUACUUGCACUUAAGAGUGCUUUCGAACUGCUAGGUGGGCAGGAGCUGGGAGCGAACGACGGGAGCUCACCCCGCCGUGGGGAUUCGAACCGCCAACCAUUCGAUCGGCAAGUCCUAGGCGCUGAGGAUUUACCCACAGCGCCACCCGCAUCCCUAGGCCUGAACUUAGAACUGGAAAAAGCAAAGAAAUGGAGAGCAACUGAAAUUGACAGAUUUGCCCAUUAUUACAUGGGUGACUUGUUCCAAAGGAGCUUUGGGCUUCUGCUUUUGAAGCAGUUACAUGGCAAAAGAGUUGAGUCUCAAAAGCACUUGUCCGAUAAGACUUGAUGCUAUGGCAGAGGGGGGAAAGAUGAAAUCCAAAACUGUUGUGCUCCUUUAUUCAUCCACAUUCAGGACACUAAUCACAGUUGGUGGAACUGCAUAGCAAACACUCAGGGAAACACCCAGUCCUUGAGGACAAUGAUUUGGAGUUGGUCUGUCAAAUCUUAAAUAAGCAUCUGGACCUGACUGGGCUUAAGCACCAGUUUUAUCAGCGGUGCUCAACCUAUUUGGACCCGGAGGCACAUUUGGAAAUCUAAAAAUCUGUUGCAGGCAGCACAAAAGUAGCCAUUUCACAGAAGAAAAGCAGGUGAUAGCCAGAACCACCUACAUGCACAGAACUCAGAGAAAACACACAGAGAAAGAAAAGAAGCAACACCCUCAAACUGAUUCCCCAAAAGUAAAAACAAACAAACCCACUCCUCUUCAAAAUAAUGGGUUUGGGGUGGACAGUGGACCUUGGUGAGGCUGCUGUGAUGUACAUGGUGUUACACUGGGGCCCCAAUAUCCUGCCUUCGCUGUCAGCCCUCUCCUCAGUGUGUGUGGCUGAAGGCAUUGCUUCAGAGAAAGCCCUUGCUUCCUUCUGUUGAGAAAGGGUGUCUUCACACAGUGCUUAGCUACUUAUGGUGGUGGAAUUGAAGGCACGGCUUGAGUAAGCCUGUUAUCAGUUGUAAUGGCUGGUGCUAGCAUUUGAAGUGUGCAGAAUAGGUCACCAGUCAUUGUGAAAGUGAGGAGGCAAGGCAGCUUACCUAAGGCUGAGGUGAGAUUUGGUUGCCUGGUUCAAAAUCAAGGCUCUUAGCAUUGCAAUUGCUCUUGGUACCAUUUGUCCAUUUGGGCUCAGUAUUUCUCAUUCUUAUUCCGUGGGAUGGAUCCGCACAGCUAAUAAAACUCGUUCUGUUCUACAGGUGAGUUAGCCUUGCUGGAAGAUACCUGGGGAACUGAAUGACCAGCGGGGAUUAAGCCUGAUCCGAAGGCAAAACAACUCAAACUAUGGUUGAAACAGCAGCAUUAAUUGCACAUCAUUAUCCAGGAUAAUCAAGCUGCAGGAAUAAGAAAUUAGACAUUCUGUCAUCAUAUACUGAAUUCAAACACAAU